rnacentral:rRNA from 1 species
UGCGUAGGCGGAAGAUUAAGUCAGUGGUGAAAUCCUGCAGCUCAACUGUAGAACUGUCAUUGAUACUGAUUUUCUUGAAUACAGUAGAGGUAGGCGGAAUAUGUAAUGUAGCGGUGAAAUGCUUAGAUAUUACACAGAACACCGAUUGCGAAGGCAGCUUACUAAGCUAUGAUUGACGCUGAGGUACGAAAGCGUGGGGAGCGAACAGGAUUAGAUACCCUGGUAGUCC